rnacentral:rRNA from 1 species
UACGAAGGGGGCUAGCGUUGUUCGGAAUCACUGGGCGUAAAGGGCGCGUAGGCGGCUGUUCAAGUCGGGGGUGAAAUCCCGUGGCUCAACCUCGGAAUUGCCUUCGAUACUGGCUGUCUUGAGUACGGGAGAGGUGUGUGGAACUCCGAGUGUAGAGGUGAAAUUCGUAGAUAUUCGGAAGAACACCAGUGGCGAAGGCGACACACUGGCCCGUUACUGACGCCUGAGGCGACGAAAGCGUGGGGAGCAAACAGG